rnacentral:rRNA from 1 species
UACGUAGGGGGCAAGCGUUGUCCGGAAUCAUUGGGCGUAAAGAGCGUGUAGGCGGUCCAGUAAGUCCGCUGUGAAAGUCAAGGGCUCAACCCUUGAAUGCCGGUGGAUACUGCUGGACUAGAGUCCGGAAGAGGCGAGUGGAAUUCCUGGUGUAGCGGUGAAAUGCGCAGAUAUCAGGAGGAACACCGAUGGCGAAGGCAGCUCGCUGGGACGGUACUGACGCUGAGACGCGAAAGCGUGGGGAGCAAACAGG